CCAGCCUUGCUUGUCUUGUCUUGUCUCCCUGUACUUUUGGAUUUCUGUUAACCAGCCACUCUGUCAGUGCUCAGACGCUGAUUGGAAUAGAGAGGAGAAAUCGUGUGACGUGCCUGCAUCAGUGAUAAAGUCUGCAAUGCUGGGGAACAUGUCGCAGUUCACUCGACUGAUGCGGUCAUGCCAGAGUUCAAGUUUUUGUGUGAAGGCGUCCACUCUGUCUGCAAGAAGCAAAAUAUGAGUUUUGCAGCCUUGAAAAGACAGGUUGAGGCCAUUCAAGCGAUCAAAUAUAUUGACCAAAUAGGACAGAGACGCAAGCCACACUGUGUCAUCCAGAUGCUUUGCCAGAUCGGAUUUGAUUUCUUUCAAAAACCACUUCACCUCCUCUCGCAGCUCAUACAACCGCUGUAACACCCGCCCCCUGGAGAGCCAGCGAACUUCAGUGUGCAGAAGCAGCUGUUUGUGCCCUGACCUCUCCUCUCCUGACAUCUCCUGGCAGAGGACCCCAAACAAGCGAGAGUUUGGCGGUCAUGAUUUGAUGAGAUUUAUAAUUUUCACGGAUUGGUUCAGCACGGAGUCAAAGGGAACCGGAAUUUUUUUAGCAGCUAGUGCUUCGCGAUGAACCAUGCAAUGUGUCCAUUUCACAAGUGGAGCUACUUGCUGAAUGCGAGCAGCUAGGCCACGCUCACUGGCCAUCAUUGCUCGCGCAACAUCCGUGCAUAGCCCAACGCAUCAGUCCCAAGCCAAACCAUUUUCCCAGAUAAAAAUAUCAAGGGCAUUGAAGAUGGCUUCUCCUGUAGUGUGCGACUGAAGAGGCCGGCAAAACAGGACAUCCUCCUCAAUUGCCCUGUCCUGCAGAUACCUGAAAUAGGUGAGGAGCUGUGCCUGCCCAGCAACAUCAGUGGAUUCGUCCAGCUGCAGCGUGUAGUAAGGACUCGUUUUAAUGAACUGUAUCAGUUGCUCUCUGAUAUCAUUAGAAAUGUCUGAAAUUCUCCUAGCGACUGUGUCAUUGGACAGUGGUACUGCACCGAGUUUGGCUGCUGCACAAUCUGCUAUCGUUAUUCUGCAUGUCUUGCGCGGCCGGCAAAAUGAGAGUUUUGGCAAUUGUAUGUGGUUUACCUAUUCUUUUGGCCACAACAUACGAUGCCUCCAAACACUGUUUAGACAGUGCUGUGCACUGAAAUGGUUGCCUGUUGCUGAUUGAGGCCAUCAAGCUUUCUUUUAAAAUAUUCAGCCGGUUUAUCCUUAAUGCCAGCAUGCUUUGUUUCGAGGUGCCUUUUAAGUUUGCAGGGCUUCAUGCUGUCGUUUGCCAGCACCUCAGCACACACAACACACUGAGGUCUCAGAUCAGCCGUAACUGUAAACCCAAACUGCAGGUAUGCUUCAUCGUACCUUCGAAGCUUUUUUGCAGCUGGUGGUGCGUCGGUUGCCCUGUUGGUCCUCACUAGAAAUCUCUCCAUUUUUGUUUGGUUUUGAAAUAAUUUGGAUGUGGAUUAAUUGUGUUUUCAAUAAAGUUUAGGCUAUGAUGUAA